UGUAAAAGUAAGUUUGGGAAGCUCCAGUUUCAGAAAGCAUCCUCAAGUGGAGAUCUAAAUGUUCAGUGAACAGGCAGAAUAGAAACUAAAUGAGCUCCCAGAACUGAGAUGCUUCAAGACUCAUCCACAAGGGCAGACCUCCCAGGGAAGACGUGGAUCAAGAGAUCAGAGAGAGACACAGCGAGAGAGGGAACACUAACAGGGGGAGUGGGAGUGGGAGAAGCUGGCUUCCUGCUGAGCAGGGUAAUCUGAUCCUGGGCUGAAUCCCAGGACCCUGGGAUCAUGAUCUGAGUCUAAGGCAGACUCAUAACGACUGAGCCACCCAG
rnacentral:lncRNA from 1 species